GUUCCUGGUAGCUCAACUGGAUAGAGCAAUCGCCUCCUAAGCGAUAGGUUGCGGGUUCAAAUCCCGUCCGGAACA